rnacentral:lncRNA from 1 species
GCCCUGAAGAUCGCAUUGAACAACCUGGAUAGCCACUCCACUCCUGACCUACCCAUGCAUUUCCAGAACUCCACCGGGAUUUCGUCAGGCCCAGUCGCUCGAUCCCUACUCAUCCUAUGCAAAGCCCCCAUGACCUCCUCCGUCCUAAUGCGCCUGCAGUACCCAAUGUCUCUAUGUUGCUCUGAAUGCCCCAACUCCCCUAGAUCUAUGUUACGA